GAAAUGCGAUAAUUAAUGUGAAUUGCAGAAUUCAGUGAAUCAUCGAGUCUUUGAACGCACAUUGCGCCCCCUGGUAUUCCGGGGGGCAUGCCUGUCCGAGCGUCAGUGCUGCCCUCAAGCACGGCUUGUGUGUUGGGCUUCCGUCCCUGGCAACGGGGACGGGCCCAAAAGGCAGUGGCGGCACCAUGUCUGGUCCUCGAGCGUAUGGGGCUUUGUCACCCGCUCCCGUAGGUCCAGCUGGCAGCUAGCCUCGCAACCAAUCUUUUUAACCAGGUUGACCUCGGAUCAGGUAGGGAUACCCGCUGAACUUAAGC
rnacentral:misc_RNA from 1 species